GUGGUCCGGAGCACGGGAGAGCAACACUCAACAGCACACCGCCCGGGGUUCACAACGGAAACUCCCUGGAGGCCCUCAACCCUCGGGGUUGCCCCAGCGAGCCGAAGUGCUGGGAGAAAUGCGCCAGAGCGCUAGCGUCAUGUGACGUCACUGGGCCGCGCCAGCCAAUCCGGGCGGUCCUUGUCGUAGGCACUGCGGUGGCCCGCGGCCUGCAGGCGGCGCUGUGGGCCCGCCGGGCGGCCCCACAGAGCCGCCAUAGCCGCCCGCCUACCUCCGACUUAACGUCUCCGCUGUGGGCUCCGCGCCGCCGCCAUGGCCGACGUGGAAGACGGCGAGGAACCCUGCGCCCUGUCCUCUCACUCCGGGAGCGCAGGCUCCAAGUCAGGAGGCGACAAAAUGUUCUCUCUCAAGAAGUGGAACGCGGUGGCCAUGUGGAGCUGGGACGUGGAGUGCGAUACGUGCGCUAUCUGCAGGGUCCAGAUGCCUGUCUUAGAUGUCAAGCUGAAAACAAACAAGAGGAUUGUGUUGGAAGACAGCAUGUGGAGCUGUGUAGGGGCUGGGGGCCACCACAUCACUCACAGACUCUAAACAAUGAUGAAAAAGUCCCCCAGUCACAGCGUCUCAUCUCACUUCUUAAGUGUGGUUUACACAGUGGUCUGGGGAGAAUGUAAUCAUUCCUUCCACAACUGCUGCAUGUCCCUGUGGGUGAAACAGAACAAUCGCUGCCCUCUCUGCCAGCAGGAUUGGGUGGUCCAAAGAAUCGGCAAAUGAGAGUGGAGGCUUUCUUAGUGCAUUUGUUUGGAGCCCUGGUGGAUCUUGUUAUCAAGUGCCCUACAAAGGCCAGAACACUCCAGGGAAUUAAUUCUUCAAAUAGGAGGAGAUGGCUCUGUGGUCCUUUGGUACUCAUCAAAGGCAUGGCUUAGCAUUUUGUUUUAUUUUCAGAAAUUCUCUACAAUUAAGAAGAUAAUUUAUUAAAGAUGGUCUUUCCUACCUCUGUGGUAUGUAUCCCACACACUGCUUAGAAGUGCUUUAAAGGAGGAGAGAGCUACAAAUUUAAUGACUUUAUAAUUUGCUUAUUGGUAUCCCGGGGGUUGUGGAAGUAGUUCCAUUCAGAAGAGAACUUGUUGCAUGCUUAUAGUUGAUCAGUUAAAAAAAAAAAAAAAAGACAAUGUUACAGAAACAAAUAAAGUGCAGUUUAAAACCCAACUCUUAUCCUUAAUUUGUUCCUCAUAUUUAUUUUUGGCUGGGAGGGGGUGAUUCAUGAAGUCUUUGUAUGAUAUAAUGAAAAUUUUAAGUUUGGACCAGUGAACAGGGUAAAUAAAAUUUAAUCUUCAGGCGUAUGGAAUUGUGGUUGUCUUUUAGGCUAUUCUCCUCUAUCUUUGGUUCAUCAAGAAAACCUAAAUCUGCACUCACUUCACUGUCCAAGCAUUGAAUGGUAAAGAACAGAAGUAUUUGUUCUGGUCAGAUUAUGUUGUAAUUUAACUGUUUUAGGUGGAAUGUUAAUGAGGGGAAAAUGUUUACCACUGUAGCACUGGGUCAAAAAGUUUAUUUUAUUACACAGUGUUUUAAUAAAUGGUUUAUUCUGUUUACUUCA